UACGUAGGGUGCAAGCGUUAAUCGGAAUUACUGGGCGUAAAGCGUGCGCAGGCGGCUUUGUAAGUCUGACGUGAAAUCCCCGGGCUCAACCUGGGAAUUGCGUUGGAGACUGCAAGGCUAGAAUCUGGCAGAGGGGGGUAGAAUUCCACGUGUAGCAGUGAAAUGCGUAGAGAUGUGGAGGAACACCGAUGGCGAAGGCAGCCCCCUGGGUCAAGAUUGACGCUCAUGCACGAAAGCGUGGGGAGCAAACAGG
rnacentral:rRNA from 1 species